AUUGAACGCUGGCGGCAGGCCUAACACAUGCAAGUCGAGCGGCAGCGGGAAAGUAGCUUGCUACUUUUGCCGGCGAGUGGCGGACGGGUGAGUAAUGCCUGGGGAGCUGCCCAAUCGAGGGGGAUACCAGUUGGAAACGACUGCUAAUACCGCAUACGUCCUGAGGGGGAAAGGUGGGGAUCUUCGGACCUAUCGCGAUUGGAUGCACCCAGGUGGGAUUAGCUAGUUGGUGAGGUAACGGCUCACCAAGGCGACGAUCUCUAGCUGGUCUGAGAGGAUGACCAGCCACACUGGAACUGAGACACGGUCCAGACUCCUACGGGAGGCAGCAGUGGGGAAUAUUGCACAAUGGGGGAAACCCUGAUGCAGCCAUGCCGCGUGUGUGAAGAAGGCCUUCGGGUUGUAAAGCACUUUCAGUCAGGAGGAAAGGUGGCUAGCUAAUAUCUAGUUGCUGUGACGUUACUGACAGAAGAAGCACCGGCUAACUCCGUGCCAGCCGCCGC
rnacentral:rRNA from 1 species